UACGUAGGUGGCAAGCGUUGUCCGGAUUUACUGGGCGUAAAGGGCGCGUAGGCGGCCUCUUAAGUCGAACGUGAAAUCCCCGGGCUCAACCCGGGAACUGCGUCCGAUACUGGGAGGCUUGAAUCCGGGAGAGGGAUGUGGAAUUCCAGGUGUAGCGGUGAAAUGCGUAGAUAUCAGGAGGAAUACCGGUGGCGAAGGCGGCAUCCUGGACCGACAUUGACGCUGAACGGCGAAAGCUAGGGGAGCAAACGGG
rnacentral:rRNA from 1 species